CCCUUUGGGGUGUGACUGCGUACCUUUUGUAUAAUGGGUCAGCGACUUAUAUUCUGUAGCAAGGUUAACCGAAUAGGGGAGCCGGAGGGAAACCGAGUCUUAACCGGGCGUUAAGUUGCAGGGUAUAGACCCGAAACCCGGUGAUCUAGCCAUGGGCAGGUUGAAGGUUGGGUAACACUAACUGGAGGACCGAACCGACUAAUGUUGAAAAAUUAGCGGAUGACCUGUGGCUGGGGGUGAAAGGCCAAUCAAACCGGGAGAUAGCUGGUUCUCCCCGAAAGCUAUUUAGGUAGCGCCUCGUGAAUUCAUCUCCGGGGGUAGAGCACUGUUUCGGCUAGGGGGCCAUCCCGGCUUACCAACCCGAUGCAAACUGCGAAUACCGGAGAAUGUUAUCACGGGAGACACACGGCGGGUGCUAACGUCCGUCGUGAAGAGGGAAACAACCCAGACCGCCAGCUAAGGUCCCAAAGUCAUGGUUAAGUGGGAAACGAUGUGGGAAGGCCCAGACAGCCAGGAUGUUGGCUUAGAAGCAGCCAUCAUUUAAAGAAAGCGUAAUAGCUCACUGGUCGAGUCGGCCUGCGCGGAAGAUGUAACGGGGCUAAACCAUGCACCGAAGCUGCGGCAGCGACGCUGAUGCGUUGUUGGGUAGGGGAGCGUUCUGUAAGCCUGCGAAGGUGGCCUGUGAGGGUUGCUGGAGGUAUCAGAAGUGCGAAUGCUGACAUAAGUAACGAUAAAGCGGGUGAAAAGCCCGCUCGCCGGAAGACCAAGGGUUCCUGUCCAACGUUAAUCGGGGCAGGGUGAGUCGACCCCUAAGGCGAGGCCGAAAGGCGUAGUCGAUGGGAAACGGGUUAAUAUUCCCGUACUUGGUGUUACUGCGAAGGGGGGACGGAGAAGGCUAUGUUGGCCGGGCGACGGUUGUCCCGGUUUAAGCGUGUAGGUGUGUGUUCCAGGUAAAUCCGGUU
rnacentral:rRNA from 1 species